rnacentral:tRNA from 1 species
GGGGACAGCUCAGUGGUAGAGCACAUGCCUAGCGUACAUGAGGACCUGGGUUCAGUCCCCAGUAUCCCCA